GGGCUCGUAGCUCAGUAUGGAUAGAGCACAGGCCCUCUAAGCCUGGGGUCGGGGGUUCAAAUCCCCUCGGGCCCG
rnacentral:tRNA from 1 species